GUACCACAGACACUGGCUCCAGAUUUUGUUGAGAUGAUCAAGAGGAAAUCUAAUCUAAUGCCUCAUAUUGCUUUGGGAUUCCUUAUCUAAGGAGAUCCUUGGAGAGCUCCCAGGUAUAGCUGUCUGAAGAGUGUCACAUCAUCCACAAUUAUACCUGCCAGAGGGUUCAGCCACCAUAGAAGAAGUCUGAUUAUCCUGAGACUACCAGACUCUUAAGGAAGCCUAAGUGAGCCACUUGAAGAUGUCACAUGAAGGAGGAUCUAAGUGCUUUGAGUGACAGCCCCACAUGAAAUCCCAGCCUCCAGGCAGCACCAACUGCCACUGUCUUGGACAUUACGAAUCGGUUGUGCCUCCAGUGAACCAUCUUGGACAUUCCAGACCUGUUGAGCCUCCAGAUGACUGCAGCCACAGCUCAACCCGUGUAAGGAAGAACUACCCAGGAAAUGUUUUCCACCUACCUUAAGAAUAGUAGCAAUAUCACUGACCCCAUGAAAAUGAGAAGACACAAAUUAGCUGAAGAAGCAUCAGCAUUUUUUUAAAAAGAUUAGGAAAUUACCCACACCCUCUCAUCAAGAACAGUGAUGCCAGAGUGGUCCAUCUGGUGUGUCAGGCUGCAGGCUGGUACCCAGAGCCUGAGGCAAGCUGGGGAGAUCCCUAAGGACAGAAUUUAAAGCCACACUCUGAAAACAACAGAGCAGGUGGAAACAGCCUGUUCUCCACUGAGUCUUCAGUCCUGGUAACCAUGACCUCUUUGGUCCUCAACCCCAGGCUCAACGAGAAGAAGGAAAUAACUAUUUCUGUUGUCAGAAAUAAUAUAUGGAUAAUUUUGAAUAUUAUUUUAGCUGUGGUCUGCAUUUCCGUGGUUGUUUUUUUCAUUGCGGUGCAAAGACGAUCUAAAAAUCUGGCCAUAGGCAAUUACAAGUCUUUCUGGACCUGAAACAUAGACUGCCAGAUAUUUCUCCAGCAAAGAUGGGUUUAUUCAGGAUCAGCAGAGAAUUGCAAUUCAGGAUCUGCAACCAUGGCGAGCCACAUGCAAGUCCCCACACAGCAAAAGAAGAAAAGGGGAAAAGGAAGUUGGGAGGGCUGCAGUUAACAAAGAGUCUGUGGCUUUUCUUUGGCUGAGUCCUUGCCAGGAAAGGAGAGGAGACUUCUUCCUCUUGGGCUCUGCAGUGGUGCUGGGUGUGAGAGCUCCCCUUUCUGGUCUCCCAGCUCUAUUUAAUGGAGGUUUCUGUUUAUUAAUUUUUUAUAGCUUUAUCUGGCUGCCCUCCCCACACCAGACUUGGAGCACAGCCUGUGCAUUGCAGUCUCUGAAAGGAAUUGCAGUCAGUGACGCAGGCCCCCCCAUUCCCCCCACCAUCCACCUAUGCUCUUACGUAUAUCUGCAUUCCUAGUUCAAGUGCCUCUGGAGGCCUCUUCACUGGGGCUCUUGGCAGAAGCCUUCGUCCGACACUUCUGCCGAAACCCCUUUGUUGGGAAGAAGGGAGGGAAUCUUGAAGCCAUUCUCCGCACUGACUCAGCACUCAGUACUUUUCCAAGUCUAGCCUACUCUCCCUGCCCCUGGCUUCCAGGUCCAUGAAAUUGCGGGAGCUUUCUGAUCAGGGCUCCCUCAGCAGUGAGACAAGCCCCACAUCUGUGCUAAUCCACUUAACCCUUAACUGAGGCACCAUUCCUUGAGGGAAAAUGGAAUGGUGGAGUCAUUGCUUUCUCCUGUUCAGCCUCUUGCUUAUACUGUGACAGUAAGUGAUUAAAAACUUGUCUGUUAUUUUCAUUUUUCCUUGUUGUCUUAACUGGCUACUCCCAACACCUGGCAGCUCAGCUGUCUCUAGCUCAGCUGAGCUCCUGACACCUUGACUUUGAAGAUAUUUUUAUCGUCACUAGAAUUCUGGGUUGACAGUUUUGAGAUUCAGAACUUUAAAGAUGUCAUACCAUUGUCUUCCAGUUAUGACAUGUAUUUCUUAUCUUUAUUCCUCUGAUUUAAUGUAUUUAUUUUCUCGAUGUCUUCAAGAUUUUCUCUUUAUCAUUGUCAGCAGUUCAAAAAUGAUGAGUUUAGAUUUGUGGGUGGAGUUGUUUAUUUGGUUGGUUAUUUGGGGUUUUUGUUGUCUAUAUUGCUCAUUAUUUAUUCUACCUGAGGUUUUCCAGACAUGGACCUUUGGCUUGAUAUUUUUCAUUGUUUUUGGAAAAUUCUUAGUCAUUAUCUCUUCAAAUAUUACUUCUACCUUGUUCUCUACUUUCUUCUGCCUGUAUGACUCCAGUUACAUUUAUGUUUGUCUGUUUGUCAAAAUGAAAAAUCAUCUAAUGACUGCUGGAUUUAUUGUGCCAAUAAGUUGUUUUAAUUCUUAUAUAUACGUUCAUGGAUAAAAAGACACUCUAGUGUGCCUUUCUUAUCCUGUCUUCAUCUGGUUUUGUUAUCAAGUUAAACUAGCUUCACAGAAUAAAUUAAGAUGUAGUUCCCUCCUUUUUCAUAUUCAGAAAUUUUGUGAAGGAUUGGAAUUAACUCUUUUUGAAAUUGUUGGAGAAUUGCCUAUAUAACUGCUGUACUUGUGUUUCCUAUAAGAGAAGAUAAUAACUAUUUUUGCAGUUUCAUUUAUUGUUAUAGGACUAUUUAGGUGUUUUAUUCUUGAUAUAUUUUAGUAAGUUAUAUUUUCUCAGGAACAGUCAUUUCAUCUAAGCUGUUGAAUUAUCAAUAUAAAUUAUUUGAUGGUACUCUCUUACUAUAUUUUAAUCUAUACUGGAUUGGUAGUUAUGUAUUUUUUUUAAUUAAUUAAUUUAUUUAUUUAUUUAUGGCUGUGUUGGGUCUUCGUUUCUGUGCGAGGGCUUUCUCUAGUUGCAGCAAGCCGGGGCCACUCUUCAUCGCGGUCAUUGCGGCGCGCGGGCCUCUCACUAUCGCGGCCUCUCUUGUUGCGGAGCACAGGCUCCAGACGCGCAGGCUCAGUAAUUGUGGCUCAUGGGCCUAGUUGCUCCGCGGCAUGUGGGAUCUUCCCAGACCAGGGCUCGAACCCGUGUCCCCUGCAUUGGCAGGCAGAUUCUCAACCACUGCGCCACCAAGGAAGCCCUGGUAGUUAUGUAUUUUUAAAAUUCUCUUUUGGCUUUCUUGAUUCUCUCCAUUUUACCUUUGUUUUCUAAAUCAAUCAUUUUUAUUAGUUUACUUUGUUUUCUUAAUCUACUCUUAGUGCCUUCCCACUGCUUUAUCGGGAAUGAUUUUGUUGUAUGUUUCUUACCUUCUUUAUUUGGACUCACUAUUAUUCUGCAGUCUCCAUCCUAAUAUAAUAAGCCA